rnacentral:rRNA from 1 species
UACAGAGGUCUCGAGCGUUAGGCGGAAUCACUGGGCUUAAAGCGUGUGUAGGCGGUUCGUUAAGUACCUUGUGAAAUCCCACGGCUUAACCGUGGAACUGCUUGGUAUACUGGCGGUCUUGAGCCAGCUAGGGGCUACCGGAACAAAUGGUGGAGCGGUGAAAUGCGUAGAUAUCAUUUGGAACGCCAAUGGUGAAAACAGGUAGCUGGGGCUGUGCUGACGCUGAGACACGAAAGCCAGGGGAGCAAACGGG